GCGCUCAACUGGAGGCGCACCCAGUGCUGGUGGCCGCCCAGCCGCCCGGCGAACUGGUGGCGCUACCCGAAAACAGCAAGCGCUGCGGCCUGAACGGAAGCUUCGUGGUGCUCCAUCCGGCACGCGAUGAGCCGCUGCUGCAAUGGAGGCCUCAGAGCGGCUCCAGGGACGGUCGCAACGAGUCGACUCUACUGACGGUGAUUUAUCCUUCGGGACCAGGAGGUUUAGAAGCUGAAUAUCUACGCUACCCUCUUCGUAAAGACUGUUUGGUCCUCUUCCGAGCGCAGUACGCCGUCAUCCAAAGCACUGACUUGGACAAAAAAUACCUGGAGUGUCCUAAGCUGACCAUCCUCUUCGAGGCACCGGCAGACACAACGCCCACUGUGCAGGUAGGGUCUCCUGUCUUUGUUACGUGUCCUGUUUGAAUAAUAUUACUCGGAAGUAUAAAAAAAAAACUACUGUUUUUCAUUCAUUUCUGUCACAGUUGUGUAGCUACUUGUAUGUUUAAACAAACGUGGCAAAGUCGCAAAAAAGAAAAAAAAAACGCCAGCCAGUAUUUAAAUCUGCAAAUUAAAUGUUUUCUGUGUCAUCGGCGUGCGAUCGUAUGCAUUACUGUUGCUCGUGCAUUAUGAAUAUACCAUUCUCACACAACGUUGCUCAUCUAAUAAUUGGAAACAUACGAGAGGUGAAAAAACCAGAGCACCUAGAGACCUAAACUGCUUAUUUUCAACUUG